GAUCCUGGCUCAGGAUGAACGCUGGCGGCGUGCUUAACACAUGCAAGUCGAACGGGCUCAUAUUGAAACCUAGUGAUUUAUGAGUUAGUGGCGGACGGGUGAGUAACGCGUGGAAAACCUGCCGUAUACUGGGGGAUAACACUUAGAAAUAGGUGCUAAUACCGCAUAAGCGCACAGCUUCGCAUGAAGUGGUGUGAAAAACUCCGGUGGUAUACGAUGGUUCCGCGUCUGAUUAGCUUGUUGGCGGGGUAAUGGCUCACCAAGGCGACGAUCAGUAGCCGGCCUGAGAGGGUGAACGGCCACAUUGGGACUGAGACACGGCCCAAACUCCUACGGGAGGCAGCAGUGGGGAAUAUUGCACAAUGGGGGAAACCCUGAUGCAGCGACGCCGCGUGAGUGAAGAAGUAUUUCGGUAUGUAAAGCUCUAUCAGCAGGGAAGAAAUAGCGACCUUUGGGUCGCCAGACGGUACCUGAUUAAGAAGCCCCGGCUAACUACGUGCCAGCAGCCGCG
rnacentral:rRNA from 1 species